GAGUUUAUAGCUCAAGUGGUAGAGUGCGUGCUUAGCACGCACAAGGUCCUGGGUUCCAUCCCCAGUGCCUCC
rnacentral:tRNA from 1 species